GUUAACUGCAGAGCCAGCUAGUGAAUUAGAAUUACAUUUGCUUUCUUGUUUUGUCUUUCCUAGAAUUAACAACUGCCUUGUUUUUCUAUUUGCUUAAUUUUCUAAGUAUCUUUUUUUUUUUUUAACACAUUCUCGGACCUGUCAGAUACCCAUCAAUAUUCUUUUCCAAAUGGCCAAACAUACCAGAUAAACUUUCCACUCCCUUCCCACCCGCUCUGGUCCUGGUGUUCUAAGGGAAAGGGGAGCAGAAGACCAUGGCAGAAUAAGCAAUUUGUACCUAAUCAAUUUCCAGCCCUGCAUCUCACCCUGGCCCACCACCAUGCCCACUGUUUCCAUGGCCUUAAUUUCCAUGGUUCCAUUUUUCCAGAGAAUAAUGGAAAAUUUCCAUUCUCCUGCCUUGACUAGGGGUUGGCAUCUGACUGCUCAGGGUGGGGAAGUUUCCUGAGGCUCCAACUUCUAACCAAUUCCUCACUUUCAAUCCUGUCUUGUACCUCACUUCCUCCCUACCUGCUGUCUGCAAGCCUUAAGUCUUUGAAGUUGUUCUACAGGAUGAAUUUUGGCUGUAUUUUCUUUGCACUGAUUUUGGCUAUCAACAUUCCAACCAGUUUCCACCUUUCAGAUUAUUGUACCUUUUCAUCCACUGAUGCCUCCUCUACCUUCUCUUGUGGGCUGACCCUGUGGGUUUACAUUUUAUUCCUUUUACUCUUAUUUUGGUGUGGCUUUGAGAAAAAGAGACCAACACAUAUGACUAACCUACUAUGUUGAGUCUCUAUGAUUAUUUUUUUAAAGUAGAUUAGAAGUAUAUAUCUAAGUUUACAUAGGAGAUUGGCCUGAUAGCUGUUGGAGGAAAGUUUAAUGUAUUUUCUUCCAAAGCAGAGGUCACAGCCCAAAGACCUACAGAAACAUGGAAUGUAGUGGCAAAUUAGGAGUAAGAUGGAUGUUAGGCAAAGCAGAGGUGGAGACGGUGGUGAGCUAGAGAGGGCCAGGGACUCUCUGACACAGUAAUGACUCUGCUCCAAUUGGACAUGGAAAUUUGGAUCUAACAUAAGCCAGUUCUUCCCAUCUUCCUAGAAAACCCAGUGGUUGAUUUGCAUUAGAAUCUCCUGGUGUUCAGAUGUUGGCAAUCAAGGUUAACUAUAUGCCUGUAGAAUUUCCACAGCCUGCUCCCACUCACCUUUAAAAGCCUUCCUUGGCAGACCAUACUUACCUAAAGUAACCGCAUUCCUGUUGGCCUUCUUCUUCAUCAUUCAUCAAUCUCUCACUGUAUUCGGUAGCUGUGUAUAAAUGCACGUGUUUCAUCAUUUGUUUGCUCCCUCCAAAUGUAAGCUCCAUGCCUGGAGUACUUUUUUUCACUGCCAUUGAAUGAAACAUUAUUUAAAAUGGCGUAGGCCAAAGGCUAUCUGAGCACUGUCUGUGACUACUACUCUCAUGCAUUUUGCUCACUGCUCAUGAUCUUAGAGGACUUACACAACCAUUCUGAACAUGUCAGAGUCCUUGGUAUUGUUAUAAAUUUUUAUAUGUGUUAAUUUCCCAACUAAAAGACACACAUCUUAGGAGCCACAGCUGUAUUCUCUCCAUCUCCCUUAUGCUUUACUCACAGAGAACA
rnacentral:lncRNA from 10 species